UACGUAGGUGGCGAGCGUUAUCCGGAAUGAUUGGGCGUAAAGGGUGCGUAGGCGGCCUGCUAAGUCUGGAGUGAAAGGUACCGGCUCACCGGUACAGGCUCUGGAAACUGGCGGGCUAGAGAGCAGGAGAGGGCGGUGGAACUCCAUGUGUAGCGGUAAAAUGCGUAGAUAUAUGGAAGAACACCAGUGGCGAAGGCGGCCGCCUGGCCUGUUGACUGACGCUGAGGCACGAAAGCGUGGGGAGCAAAUAGG
rnacentral:rRNA from 1 species